rnacentral:lncRNA from 1 species
AGAGGUCCUAUCAGAGUGACUCAAUAUGAAUCAAGUGUUACAAAUUUCGAAUAGGAUCGGACUGGGAUCAGAUCUACCGCACGAAUUUUGGAGCAAUUUCAAAUCAUCAUAUUUUUAAUUCAAAUAUAUCCUAGGGUCUGUGAUGCAAUCAGAGAGAGAGUAGAAAGAUUCUAGAGAGAUAAAAUCCACAAAAAAGAGAGAAAGAUCUAGAGAGAGAA